rnacentral:lncRNA from 1 species
GGUCUUCUAUUUUAACACGGCUUGCAUGUAGAUUUAAUACGUACAAAUAAUCAGUCAAGUGACCUUCAGUUUCAUCUCUAAUCCUGAUUUUGUUGACGUUUUCAUCCCUAACCCGGAUGAGUACCGGUAUGAAAGAAAGACAAAUAAUGACUUAUUUAUUAAGAUUGCAUCAUAGAUAAUAUUUUUAUUAAACGUUUAACAGAUGAAAUAAUAUCAUAUUUAAAUUCUACAUAUUUUUCUAAUCAAAUUCCAUAUAUAAUAUGUUAAAUUUGGAGUUAUGGUUUAAAAGAUAUGAGUAUUUUAAAAAACAUUUAAUAUAUACUACGAGUUUAAUGUCAUAAACAAUAAAGACUUUUUUGUAAAAUCACCUCGGUGGGUUUUCCGACGGAAGCGAUAGCCUCUUUAUUAUUAGGUAAAGAUGUAUAGCCUCCACCGAGCAAGAGGACUUGGAGCAGUUAAAAGGUGAGAACAACAAGCUUGGAUAUUAUGCAGUGUAGCUAGUUUCGGGAUAUCUCUGCUAACUUUGUGCCACAAUAGCGCAUCUCGUUGUUCUCUAGAGCUAGUUGAGAAUGGUGUGACGCUCAAGUAAUAAGCAUCUUCCUAAGUGUUUACAUCCUGAUGUCUCGUAAUCUUAAAAUUAGCACUUUUUCUUCGUAUCGGAGUUGGUAUAUUGUGAAUGUGUUGACAGACGAAAUCUCUUUCUCUUGCUAGAUUGGUUUGUGGGUAAAGUUGAGAAGAUGGUUAAGCAUAUAUAUAGCCGCAGGUGGUGCAGCUGGAAGUAAUUGUAUAGUUAUUAUUGUUUCAGAAAAUGGUCCAACUUUGCCCAUAAAUUAAACAAAGAAUGCUAGAACGGAAAGAAAUGAAAAACGCAGAAAUAGAAAUUGUAAGAAAACCAAAAGUACAUGGUCCUUUGAAGUCAUGCUUCCUAACGCCCUGGGCAUCCCAUCCUAACUACUACACUGCAUGUUUAAUUCUACACUAAGAGAUUCUACUACCCUAAGUUAAUGAUCGAAAAUAAACGAAAUGCUUCCAUAAACGAGAUGGCAAAUAAUACACUAAGUUACUCAGAUUUCUUAGUGCGCAUCUCGUUUAUGGAAGCAUUUAAUUCUUCCAUAAACGAAAUAAACGAAAUGCUUCCAUAAACGAGACGCGCACUUCAGAUUUCGUUUAUGAUGGCAAAUAAUACAGCUCAGCUAUGGGAGCAGUAUAGAUUGAUUUUAACCUUCCGAUCGAUGAGAAUCAAACGGUUGAUAUAUCUACUUGAAGGUAUUCUCAAAGAGCUCAAUAACAUAUACUGUUGUUAUCGAAAAGGGUAAAGCUCCCUCAUCGACACA